UACGAAGGGGGCUAGCGUUGUUCGGAUUUACUGGGCGUAAAGCGCACGUAGGCGGGUUGUUAAGUCAGGGGUGAAAUCCUGGAGCUCAACUCCAGAACUGCCUUUGAUACUGGCAACCUAGAGGCCGGAAGAGGUUAGUGGAAUUCCCAGUGUAGAGGUGAAAUUCGUAGAUAUUGGGAAGAACACCAGUGGCGAAGGCGGCUAACUGGUCCAGAUCUGACGCUGAGGUGCGAAAGCGUGGGGAGCGAACAGG
rnacentral:rRNA from 1 species